GUAGCAAUGACAGGAUGUCAUCUUCUUUCGUUUUUGUCUUUUUUAUUUUUCACGUGUUUCUCACAAGAUGGGAACUCGAGGGAAUAAAAAGUGCUGGGAAGUAAUUUUUGUUGGAACGUCUUGUGUAACAUCUUCUUUCGAUGAUGACCUUUUGGAUGGCUGCAUGAAGCUUGUUCCGCUUUAAAUUUCAAGGUUAAUCUAUUUCAAUUUGAAACUUGAGUUGCAACUGAACUUAAAUGAAAAGUGUUGGAUUUGGGCCUCUAUUUGUUUUAACUUGUACAGGGUUGAAGUGAUAGUGAUCUUAAAAGUACAAAAGCAGCAGACAAAAAUCAAUUAGCCACAAUAUAUAGUGUAUGGUUUCCUACUUUCUCAGUAUAAAGUUGAAUGUUUUGGUGAUAUAAUCUCUACAUCCAAAAUCAUAUAGACAGCUACUGCUGGCACUUGCAGUAGCCAAUGUUAACCAAAAUCAUAUAAUCUUAAAGUUGAAUGUUGUAUUUUCAUAAAUUAAAGGGAUUUCUCUUCUUUUCUUUGUCAAUUACAGUGCAUCAUAAUAAGUUUUCUUACUCAGUAAAUGCUAUUGUAAUUUUUUCACAGAGACUCCCCUGUUUUGCAACUAAUUCACUUCUGAAUAAAUCUGGGAAACAGAAAGGCAAUCAACAAAGAGUAAGGCAUCUUCUGAAGAAACAAAGAAAUUUAAUACCAUAAACUAAGCAGCACGUAGAAGGCAAAAACUGAGCACAAAUUUUCAGGAAGGGACAAACGAAAAAAACCAAAAAGAAAGCAAAGAAAAAUACAGACUCAAAUUCACAACACCCAUUUUCUUUCCAUUGGAACACUUUAAAUAGUUUAUUAAAUUUAUAAUGAUCUGAUUUCUACGCAUAUAAAAAAAUCAACUAAAUGAUCAAUUCUCUAUAAUUUCGGCAUUACUAAAAACAUCCAAACUAAUAAACAAUUAGUUAUUUUACUCAUUUUAAUAAACAUUUUAGUUAUGAAUUCACCAAACAUUUUGAACAAUUCAUAUUGAUGAAUUAACAUUUAAAUUUUAGAUUUUUUGAUUUAUUAUUUCCUUCGUGAGUUACUUCUAAAGUAUGCUAUAUAUCUUUAAGCAUUUUUAUAGAAUAUAAUUCUAUCAAAUUCACUUUUACCCAAUGCAUAAUAUAAAGUAUUCAUGGCUUUAACAUCCAUAAAAAAUAACUUUUUAUCAUUGUCCGUAUAUUCCCUUUUAGUUUUAGAAAUCUCAAUACCAUUUUUAAUUUGAUAGGUCUAGGAGAUCUAUUUUGUAUGGAUAGCCACAAAUUAAAAUCAAUAAAUUGAUAAUAAAUUAUCAUUAAACAAUUUAUUACUUGCUCUUUGGUAAUAAGAAUGUGAUUGUAAUAUUAUUUUGUAUGGAUAGUUUUAUCUAUCUAUUAUCUCAAUAACAAGAUUAACUUUGCAAUUAUAUAUCACACUUAUAUAAUCUCAAAUAAUAUUAAUUAAAAUGAAUCACAAAAAUUUAACACAGUAAUUCUGCAAAAAAAAUAAAAACAAUUUAAUAAACAAUUUAACUUUGCAAUUAUGUUUUUAUUUGUUUGUUUUUCUAUGAGACACAAUGGAAUUUUCAAUAGAAACUACAACAAUACAAAUAAUUACAAAUAUUUUUCUUUCAACAUCAACAUAAAAAAACAUUAUGCACUUUUCGAUACUUACGUAAUUCUAGGAUUAAAGAAACAAUAACAUCUAAGGGGGGUGAAUUGGGUGUUGCACUAAUUAUAUCAAAUAAUGGUGUUGCACUAAUUAUAUCAAAUAAUGCAAUAAUUAACAAUAUAAUUAAAGUGUUUAAAGUAAAUAGAUAAGGAAAUAGAUAUUACAAACUCGGUUUUUAAUGUGAUUCGGUAAGCCUACAUCUACACCUCAAGUACUAACCGUACUUGAGUAUUGUACUCUUUUACCAAUCCAAGUGAAAUAUACAAAUGCCCUUGAUAAAUCCACACCGAGAAAUUAUACCACUUGAAGUUUUUUCUCUUGGUGACAAUACAUCACUAAUGCUAGGAGUUUAUCCAAACUCACAAAUGUUUACAAUUAUAAUUUGUUUGCAACAAGAUUCACUCUCUCAUAAAGUAAAUUGUACAAUUGAAAACUAUAAUCUUUAUAACUCACUCGAUAGCACUCAAGAUGAUUGAAAGUGUGUAAAUAUAAUGAGUGUGAGACAUUAUACUCAUGUGUUAGAAUAUAAAGAUUUAAUUUAGCACAACUUAAAAGCAUGUUAUGAUUGAUGAUUUCUAAUUGAUUUUUUUUUAAAAUAACUUCUAUGUUAUAUAUGUUUGGAAUCUCUCUUUUAUUUGUUAUAUAUAUAUAUAUAAACUAAUUGUUUAUAGUUGUUGAGAUGUCUCUAACAGCUAAAGUAAUCUAUAUGCAACUUAAACAAAAGAAUUCCAAUUAAAUGGAAUUGCACUUAACAUGUAUUAUUUCAAAUGCAACAAUUGCAUAGAUAACAGACAACAAGGAAUUUAACAGAAGAUAUAUACACUUUACUUUUCCUACUAAAAUUAAACUAUUGGAAUUUAACAUAGUCAUAAUCAAUUUGUUCUUGUGAGAUUAUCUAUUACAUGUAUAACAAAUAUAUUAGAAAAUAAAUUGUUUUAAGAUUGUUAGAACACCUUAAAUAGUUCAUAAAAUUAUUGUUCCAUUUUACUAUAAUAAUCAAGUUUCCACAUAAUAUAAAUCAUGCAUAUAAAUUAAUAAUCAAAAUAAAAAUUAAAUUAAGAUAACAAUCAAUUUUUUAACUUUAAAAUAAUUUAUCAUCUAUUUUCUAAUACUAAUAGUAUGAUUGUAAUAUUAUUUUUUAAUUUAUUUAAUAAUUUAAUUUUGAUAGCACAACCAAAAAUAAAUAAUGAACCAAAAUUUAUAUGAUAUUUUUUAUAAAAAAUUUGAUAAAAAAAAUAUAAAAACAAAAAUAAUGUCUCAAUUAGAAUAAUUUUUUCAUUAAUGAGAAGGCCCACCACAGACCAAGAGGACAGCUUCAAUGAAGCCAAUGCAGGUGAUUACCCGUCGGCUAACAUCUCCUCGCGCGCCUAGCACCAGCUAAACCGCCUCAAUCUGAACAUGCACCAGACAAAGUCUAUGAAAAGACGCCAGGGAGCCUCAGCAGCCGAGAAGAAAGCACGGGAACACCCACCGCGCGAGAAGAAACGCGAAAAACAGGAGACGGAGCGCGGUAAAGACUGAAGCCACAGGAUUCACAUACAGUGAAGCACUCUUAGUUUUAUAUAUAUAUAAUUCUUUUAGUUUGUUAGUUAUGAACAGUGAAGCAGCACAAGAAUACAAUUCUCCUGUUUGUUUGCUGGAAAAUAGUUUUUUUUAGAAAGUGAAUUAUUUUCCGAUGUUUGGUAGUGUAAUGGAAAAUAAGUUAGAAAACAUUUUUCAGUGUUUGGUUAUGUCAUGGAAAAUGAGUUGGAAAAUAACUUAUUAAUAUUUUAUUUUUUUCAAUUUUAUUAAAAUAAUAAAGAAUAAAUCUUACAAAUUAAAAAGUUGAAUGAAAAUAAAAUUGAAAAAAAAUAUAAUUUCAUAAAUUAUCUUAAAUAAAAUAAAUAAUAAUCAAAAUAAUAAAAAUCAAAUCUAAAAAAUAAAAAAUUUGAUCGCUUCAUUAAUUUCUCGUUAGGAAAAUGUUGAGCUUCUCAGCAAUAUUUCCUUACCUUGUGCCGCUAACUUGACGGUAAAAUGUGAUUAAAGGAUCAAUUAAUUAUUUAAAUCAACUUGAGGGAUUAAUCUGUUUGUUUAACAAAAAUACAGACACUAGUUAAAUAGAAUUUAACUCAAAUUUUAAUCAUCAUAUGCGUGCGUGUGCGUGUGCGCACGCGUGCGAGCGAGGGUUUACUCGUUAAUUUUUUUAGAAGGAAUCUGGAAAAGAAUAAAGUCAUCUAUUUCACUUUGGUCCAACAUCCCUCAAAGGCGCAGCUGUGCAUCUAGUUAGGAAGAACAUUUUAUAACUCACCUCAAGGUCGAGCAUGGUCAGGGUUAUUGUGUUGUCUAUUCCGAGGAAGAUGUGGCGUUCAAUCCAUGUGAAUCGCACGACUUGUCCAUAUCUUUCUUAUUGAUUACAAAUAGCAUUGAGAAUUAAAGAAUAUUAUCUUAAUAAGUUCCAAUUUAUUCUACAAAACUAUAUAUAAAGAUGUGACAAAAAGAUGUAUACAAAUUAGUUAUUUAUUGUUUGUAAGUAUUAUUGUAUUGCAAAGACAAAAAUAAGAUGCAACUUAUGGCGUGGUCGUCCAACCUGGUUCUGGUUUUGAUCCUGUUCAAAAUCUAUUUUGUUGAAUUGUUGAUCUACUUGUGAGUUAUUGGGUUAACUAGAUCAAUUUUUUAAACAAAACAAUGCCAUUUUAAAAAAAAAAUUGGUUCUGACAUAGAAAUAUAAUAUUAGAAACUUAAACCUUAUUGAUUAGCAAAAACUCAAUGGGAAAUUUAGUUUUGAAAUAGAUUGUUGUAAAAUCAAAUAUGAAUUGAUAACCAGAAAGUUUGCUUAAAAUUGCAAUAACCUUAUAGAAGAAAGCAAACAUAAAUAGAAUUAUUAAAUUCAAUGGAGUUCAUAUAACCAGGAUCACGAGUUUAGCGAGUUAAGCCAUGAAACCCUAAUCGAUCAAAUAUGUCGCCGUUUCAAUUAAAAAAAAUACAUCUUAAAAAGAAUUAAGCUAAACCACGUUUCUACCUAUUAUCUGGGUUGUCUUUAGACUUGUCAAGUCGACUGAGCCAUAUUAGGACAACUUCCAUAUAAUUAAAUUUGAAACUCGAGCUAGAUAAGAAAUCAGGUCAGGAAAUUUUAAUAUUGAUUUGUUGAAUCGGAUUUAAUAACAAUGCCAAAGAUCUGAAUAUUUAUUUUUUACUCAAUUUUUUUUAGGUCCUGUUUGUUUGAUGGAAACAGUUUUUUUUUAGAAAGUGAAUUCCUGUAAAGUGAAUUAUUUUCUGAUGUUUGGUAGUGUGAUGGAAAAUAAAUUAGAAAAUAUUUUCCAGUGUUUGGUUAUGUUAUGAAAAAUGAGUUGAAAAAUAGCUUAUUAAUAUUUUAUUUUUUUUCAAGUUUAUUAAAAAAACGAGGAAUAAAUCUUACAAAUUAAAAAGUUGAAUGAGAAUGAAAUUGAAAAAAAUAAUCUAAUUUUAUAAAUUAUUUCAAAUAAAAUAAAUAAUAAUCAAAAUAAUAGAGAUCAAAUCUAACAAAUAAAAAAAUUGAAAGAUGAUGAAAUUAAAAUAAUAAUAAUUACAAUUUCAUAAAUUAUUUCAAAUAAAAUAAAUAACAAUUAAAAGAAUAAGGACCAAAUUUGAUAGAUAAAAAAUUUCAAUUAAAAAAAUGAUAAGACAAAAGCAAAUAACAAUCAUAAAAAUAAGGACCACAGUUAAUAUAAAAAUCAAAUUAAAUCAAAUUUUAAGGAAGGAAAUUAAAAAAAAAGAUUCAAACAAAAUAUAUAUCAAUUAAAAGUUUGAAGACUAAAUUUGAUAUAAUCAGCAAAUAAUAUGAUAUUUCUAAAUUUUUCACAACUUCUGGAAAAUGUUUUCCGUCCAAAAUAAAAGGAAAAUACUUUCCUGAAAAUCGAGUUAAAUUUUUCUUUGACUGUAAAGUGUUUUCCAUUGACCAACUUUUUUAAUGACAAACAAACACAUGAAUGUUUGGAAAGUGGUUUCUAGAAAAUUAUUUUCCAGGCAAACAAACACCCCCUUAAUUCAAUCACUAAAGAGUUAUCCAAGAAUAAUUAUUCUCCACUAGCAGUUGUUGCAUACUAAAUUUUUUUUGUCAAAACAUACAUGAUAGGUGGCUUCAAUAUCAAUCCACCAUUUUUUAGGAUUUUCCAUGAAGUUUACUUCUAAUAUAACUACAACAAGCUUAGUAGCUUUCUCAUCAACAUUCUCAAUCAUAUGCUAAGAAAUCAUGGUUUUGUUGAGCUUUGUUAUCAUCAUAGGCUUGAUGAUGGAAGGAUUAUUGCUUCAUCAUGCUUUAUAUUUAAGUUCACGCCACUCAAAUUAUUUUGGUUUUUUCCCCACAUGAAGAAUGUUUAGGAAUCGGGUUUGCCAUCUAAACCACAAAGAUUACUAGGUUAACAAGUACAUCGAAAUCAUUAACAAUAGUUUUAUCCAUCUAUUAUCUCAAUAAUAAAAUUAACUUUGCAAUUAUAUAUCACGCUUAUAUAAUCUCAAAUAAUAUUAAUUAAAAUGAAUCACAAAAAUUUAACACACUAAUUGUGCAAAAAAACAAUUUAAUAAACAAUUUAACUUUGCAAUUGUGUAUUUAUUUAUUUGUUUUUCUAUAAGACACAAUGUAAUUUUCAAUAGAAACUAUAACAAUACAAAUAAUUAUAAAUAUUUGUCUUUUGACAUCAACAUAAGAAAACAUUAUGCACUUUUUUAAAGUUACGAUAAAAACAAAUCUGAUUGAUACUUAUGAUAUUCUAGGAUUAAAGCAAUAAUAACAUCUAAUAGAGAUAAAUUAGGUGUCAAACUAAUUAUGUCAAAUAAUACAAAUAAACAUGCUAAACACAUAUAAUAUAAUAAUCAACAAUAUAAUUAAAAUGCUUAAAAUAAAUAGAUAAGAAAAGAGAGAUUACAAACUCGGUUUUUAACAUGGUUCAGUAAGUCUACAACCACAUCUCAAGUACUAAUCGUAAUUGAGUAUUGUAUUCUUUUACUAACCAAUAAUAUAUUAUUUCACCAGUAAUUAUUAUCCAAUAUGCAACUUUUUUUUCCAAUCUUCUGUUUUUUUUUUCCAUAUCAAUCCAACAAUAAAGAAAAUAACAUGUAACAUAAAAUUUCUUUCCCCGUAGAAUCAAUGCAACAAGUAUACAGAUACCACACAACAAACAAUUUAACAAGUCAUGUAAUUUAACAGAAGAUAUAUUUACUUUGCUUUUCCUACUAAAUUUAAACAACUUUUUUGUAAUCUAUGUCAACAUAUAAAACAUAUAUAUAAAUCAAUAAAAAAAAUAAAAAAUAGGUAGAGGUAAUGAUUAAUUUUUUAGCUUUAAAAUUUUUUAUCAUCGCCUCUUUAUGCUAGUAAUGUAAUUGCAAUAUUAUUUUAAAUUAAUUUAAUAUUUUAUUUUUGAUAACAUAACCAAAAAUAAACAGCGAACCAGAAUUUAUAUAGAGUUUCCUAUAAAAAUUUUGAUAAAAAAAAAUAUAAUAGAAAUAAGUUUAUAAAAACAAAAACAAUGUCUCAGUUAGAAUAAUUUUUUCAUUAAUGAGAAGGCCUGCCACAGACCAAGAGGAGAGCUUCAAUGAAGCCAUCCCAGCCGAUGCAGGUGAUUACUCAUCGGCUGACAUCUCCUCGCAUGCCUAGCACCAGCCAAACCGCCUCAAUCUGACAUGCACCAGACAAAGUCGAUGAAAAGACGCCAGGGAGCCUCAGCAGGCGAGAAGAAAGCGCGGGAACACCCACCGCGCGAGAAGAAACACGAAAAACAGAGACGGAGCGCGGUAAAGAUUGUGAAGCCACAGGAUUCACACAUAGUGCACCGUGUUUUAAUGAGUUAUAUGUAUAUAUAUAUAUAUAAUUAUUUUAGUUUAGUUUUAGUUUGUUAGUUAUGAACAGUGAAGCAGCACCAGAAUACAAUUCUUUUAGUUUGUUAGCGAAUUUGGAAAGAAUAAAGUCAUCUGUCAAGCUCUGUUCACUUUGGUCCGACAUUCUUCACCUCUCCCCACCUGAGCUCUCUCUCUUUCCCUCCUCCGCUCUAGGAAGCCGCCACCACCUCAACCAAUAAGGCUUCAAAUCUCCACCAGGUGCUUCCUUUUCUAUCAUGUUUUUUAUUUUUAAAAUUUACAUCUGUGUUUUCAUUUAUUUAACUGAAAUUCUUAUCCAGAGAGAUAAAUUCGAUUUUAAUAAGUAAAUUAAAAAGAUAUAUAAUCGGAUCGAUGAAAUCGUUGUUCGUGAACGCAACUCGAAGAAAGGCGUAAUCAGCCGAUUCUACUGUGGGUGGAGCAUUUAGUAUGGUCAGGGUUAUUGUGUUGUUUAUUCAAAGAAAGACAUGCCUGUAAAUUUGUUAAGUUGAUUCUUAUCAGUCUGCUCUUUAGAGUUAAUGAUAACAUGAAAUAUUCAUUGUUAAUGCUCGUUGUUUUCUUCGUCUUUUUCCUAGACUAAAACAUCCUAGACAGUCUCUUUGGGAUGGGUUAGUGUUUCUGGCCUCUUCAUCUUCAAUUUGUGCUGUGGUGAAAGGCCUCGUUUUAUGACUUUGUUUUGUAUUCUUCUUAUUUCUUUAUUCUUUUGGGGAUGUGGUGUUUUCCUCUUUCUAUUACACUAUUUACUCCCUACAAUAUUUAUUUUUUCAGAGAAGUAAAUAUAUGCAUAAAUAACAAAAACAGGAGGGGAAGGGGAAUGGGGUUUGAUAGUAAGUAUUUGCUUAGAAGGGAAUGCUUCUUCGGUUUAGAAGCACCAUGAAGAUUCUUUGCUUUGAAUGGCCGAAUACCCAGGAUCCUAGCACCUAGGCCUGAAUGUUUGUGUAUAUUUGUUAUGCAUCCAUAUUUGGCUGAAUUCUUUAAUAAAGUACAUGAUAUUAGACGGAAGUUCUUUUUAAAUCUAUUCAAGUCUGAAUAAACUGAUAUUCCAUUUUUCAUGUUCUUGAUGUGCUUUUGCUCUUCUUGUCGUUCCUGACUUUCUUUUAAGGGUCUAUUCUAACAUGCAAUAUGAUUUUUUUUUUCUUUUUGGUUGGCCAACUGUCCUAGGCGGAGAACCUAUCAUAGACACGGGUGAUUGGAGAAUUCAAUUGCAGCCUGACUCAUGGAAAAGAAUAAGCGACAAAAUGUAUGUGCAAGUGCUGCAAAAUAGUAAAUUUUUUUAUUUAUAUGAAAGAAAAGGAGAAUGGCAAAGGGUUAAUUAAAAUCAACAAGAUAGCCAUGAGGCAACCUCAAGUAUCACACACCUUUUUUUUUUUUCAUCUUUUAAUGUGUUUCUCACGAGAAGAAAACUUGAGGGAACAUAAAGUGAUGGGAAGUAAUUUUUGUUGGAAUUUCUUGUGUAAUCUCUUCUUUUGAUGAUGACCUCUUGGAUGGCUGCAUGAAGCUUGUUCCGCUUUUAAUUUCAAUUUAAAACUCGAGUUGCAAUUGAACUUAAAUGAAUGGUGUUGGAUUUAGGCCUUCUA
rnacentral:lncRNA from 1 species